GACGAACGCUGGCGGCGUGCCUAAUACAUGCAAGUCGAACGCUUUUUCUUUCACCGGAGCUUGCUCCACCGAAAGAAAAAGAGUGGCGAACGGGUGAGUAACACGUGGGUAACCUGCCCAUCAGAAGGGGAUAACACUUGGAAACAGGUGCUAAUACCGUAUAACACUAUUUUCCGCAUGGAAGAAAGUUGAAAGGCGCUUUUGCGUCACUGAUGGAUGGCACCGCGGUGCAUUAGCUAGUUGGUGAGGUAACGGCUCACCAAGGCAACGAUGCAUAGCAGAAGUGAGAGGGUGAUCGGCCACACUGGGACUGAGACACGGCCCAGACUCCUACGGGAGGCAGCAGUAGGGAAUCUUAGGCAAUGGACGAAAGUCUGACCGAGCAACGCCGCGUGAGUGAAGAAGGUUUUCGGAUCGUAAAACUCUGUUGUUAGAGAGGAACAAGGAUGAGAGUAGAACGUUCAUCCCUUGACGGUAUCUAACCAGAAAGCCACGGCUAACUACGUGCCAGCAGCCGCGGUAA
rnacentral:rRNA from 1 species